UGAUGACAAUCUCGAUGAUGG
rnacentral:piRNA from 1 species